ensembl:lncRNA
UUUUUUUUUUUUUUUUGUAUUUUUAGUAGAGACAGAGUUUCACCAUGUUGGCCAGGCUGGUCUUGAACUCCUUACCUCAGGUAAUCUGCCGGCCUCAGCCUCCCAAAGUGCUGGGAUUACAGGUAUAAGCCACCACACCCAGCCAAGACUGAGGCUUCUGACCUCUACCCAUGACUCCUGCCCACACCCACAGCCCAGAAUUUUCCAGCAUGGCAGCCCUCACCUAAGGCCUCUUGGCCCCUUUGUCUCUGCCUGGUCCAUGGCUGCGGAAAAGGCCAGCAGCCAGAGCACGAGGUAUCUUCGUGCAAGAUGUUUAGCUUUCUGUUUGUGCCUGAGGUGCAUGGGGAGGGUGGGUAACACACUCAGUCCUCCUGCUCAUGGCCCUUUUCUUGUUCUUUUUUUUUUUUUUUUUGAGACUGAGUUUUGCUCUUGUUGCCCAGGCUGGAACACAAUGGUGCGAUCUUGGCUCACAGCAAUCUCCACCUCCCAGGUUCAGGCGAUUCUCCUGCCUCAGACUCCUAACUACUCGGGAUGCUGAGGCAGGAGAAUCACUUGAACCCGGGAGGCAGAGGUUGCAGUGAGCCAAAAUCGAGCCAUUUUACUCCAGCCUGGGCAACAAGAGUGAAACUCUGUCUCAAAAAAAAAAAAGCAAAACAAGAGAAAAAGGAGAAUGUCAUGUCUGCAGCCAACUAUGAAAGGAAAUGUAAAAUAAAAAGGCCACACAUCCAGAAGAGCCACCUGACAUAUAAAACUCAUAGCAAAAGGCAGCCAUCAGCAGGCCUGACGCUGUGUCUCCAGAGAACCUGGACCGGCAGUUAUCCAAGGUCUUCCAUGUCCCCCAGAUAAUCUGCCGAUGGUCUGCCCAAAUGCAGGGCCACUCACACAAACAGGAGGAAAGAACAGGGCGUCUUAUAGUCCAGGAGAUGGCUUGACGAAGCUGCCAGAGAAACGUGUCCAUCUCGGGCAGGCAGAAGGCCCAGGCAUAGCAAACACAGGCUCCAGAACCCAGCCAGAGUGCCUGCCUACCGCUCAGGAGGCGGAAAAAAAAAAAAGUAAAGAACAGGGAGUUGAUUUGAUGUAGACAGUGAGAAUUCACCAGGUUUUUAGACCAGCAAACAUAUAAACUAGUGGGGAUCAGAUAUGUCAGAACAGAGAGGAGAACACCCCCUUUCCAGUGCAGAAAAGCUCCAGCCACAGAAACAUACAGCAUGGAGGUGGGGGGAGCGGGGGGCGGGGGCAGGUGUUUAAGACAGAGGAAAAGGAAAGCUAAUCAGAAACAAAACAAAACAAAACAAAAAUGGACUUCUAUUUUUCAAGAGAAGCCGUUUAUGCAAAAAUUCUGCACUCAAGGUAGAUAAGGCAACAAGAAUAAGCCACUCUUAAACAGGCAAAACAACAUAACCAGUUAACAAAUCCCCUCUGGGAAUUCAAAGGGUACAGCAUAUACCCCACAGUGGAGCCGCCCAGCCUUUCCAUCGUCAUACCCGUAAGUGGAAUUCCAGUUGGGCCCUCGUGCCGAAGUUUUAGACCACGAGGCACGUCCUCACCUCCAAGAUGUAACUCAUCUCAAAUAAUGGAGACCAGGCCACGAGGUUUCUCCCAGACAUGGAUUCUGUAUUAGUCCUUCUGCAGCUUCCAGGAAGGUUUUCCUCCUAAUAAAUCCGUCAGAAAGUUCCACUCAGGGUUCUGAGGAUUGAUGUAACCCCCUUCUUGACUGAUCAGAGCUUUAGAAAGAUUCGCUAUGACCGCAGGACUAUGUCAAGUUGAACAAGUCUC